rnacentral:rRNA from 1 species
GAUGAACGCUGGCGGCGUGCCUAAUACAUGCCAGUCGAGCGAACAGACGAGGAGCUUGCUCCUCUGACGUUAGCGGCGGACGGGUGAGUAACACGUGGAUAACCUACCUAUAAGACUGGGAUAACUUCGGGAAACCGGAGCUAAUACCGGAUAACAUGUUGAACCGCAUGGUUCAACAGUGAAAGACGGUUUUGCUGUCACUUAUAGAUGGAUCCGCGCCGCAUUAGCUAGUUGGUAAGGUAACGGCUUACCAAGGCAACGAUGCGUAGCCGACCUGAGAGGGUGAUCGGCCACACUGGAACUGAGACACGGUCCAGACUCCUACGGGAGGCAGCAGUAGGGAAUCUUCCGCAAUGGGCGAAAGCCUGACGGAGCAACGCCGCGUGAGUGAAGAAGGUCUUCGGAUCGUAAAACUCUGUUAUUAGGGAAGAACAAAUGUGUAAGUAACUAUGCACGUCUUGACGGUACCUAAUCAGAAAGCCACGGCUAACUACGUG